UACGGGGGGGGCAAGCGUUGUUCGGAAUUACUGGGCGUAAAGAGCUCGUAGGCGGUUUGUCGCGUCUGCUGUGAAAACUCGGGGCUCAACUCCGAGCUUGCAGUGGGUACGGGCAGACUAGAGUGCGGUAGGGGAGAUCGGAAUUCCUGGUGUAGCGGUGAAAUGCGCAGAUAUCAGGAGGAACACCGGUGGCGAAGGCGGAUCUCUGGGCCGUAACUGACGCUGAGGAGCGAAAGCAUGGGGAGCGAACAGG
rnacentral:rRNA from 1 species